UACGGGAGGCAGCAGUGGGGAAUAUUGCACAAUGGGCGCAAGCCUGAUGCAGCCAUGCCGCGUGUAUGAAAAAGGCCUUCGGGUUGUAAAGUACUUUCAGUCGUGAGGAAGGUGUUAAGGUUAAUAACCUUAGCAAUUGACGUUAGCGACAGAAGAAGCACCGGCUAACUCCGUGCCAGCAGCCGCGGUAAUACGGAGGGUGCGAGCGUUAAUCGGAAUUACUGGGCGUAAAGGGCACGCAGGCGGUUAAUUAAGUUGGAUGUGAAAUCCCCCGGGCUUAAACCUGGGAAUGGCAUUCAAGACUGGUUAGCUAGAGUCUUGUAGAGGGGGUAGAAUUCCAUGUGUAGCGGUGAAAUGCGUAGAGAUGUGGAGGAAUACCGGUGGCGAAGGCGGCCCCUGGACAAAGACUGACGCUCAUGUGCGAAAGCGUGGGGAGCAAACAGGGAUUAGAUACC
rnacentral:rRNA from 1 species